rfam:Pseudomonas stutzeri strain 28a24, complete genome.
AUGCUCCUUGUUGUGUUAAGUGUUGGCAGAUCUCUGGACCUCGCCCUAGCGGUCCGGAUUUGGACCUCGAACUUCCCCCUCCCCCAACGAAGUUCGAGGUUUUUUUUCGUCCCGAGA